AGUGAACGCUGGCGGUAGGCCUGACACAUGCAAGUCGAACGGCAGCACAGCAGUAGCAAUACUGUGGGUGGCGAGUGGCGGACGGGUGAGGAAUACAUCGGAAUCUACCUUUUCGUGGGGGAUAACGUAGGGAAACUUACGCUAAUACCGCAUACGACCUUAGGGUGAAAGUAGGGGAUCGCAAGACCUUACGCGGAUAGAUGAGCCGAUGUCGGAUUAGCUAGUUGGCGGGGAAAGGCCCACCAAGGCUACGAUCCGUAGCUGGUCUGAGAGGAUGAUCAGCCACACUGGAACUGAGACACGGUCCAGACUCCUACGGGAGGCAGCAGUGGGAAUAUUGACAAUGGGCGCAAGCCUGAUCCAGCCAUACCGCGUGGGUGAAGAAGGCCUGG
rnacentral:rRNA from 1 species